rnacentral:lncRNA from 1 species
UUGGUGUGGAAACUUAGAGGUUCUCAAUUUUGGGAACUUGGAGAAUCUAUUCUUCCAUCCAAAUCCAUGGAUUUAAGAAGCAAGGAAUGAAGGCCCUCUCUUUGGGUGAUUAGCCUUUGCUUAUGCAAAGAGGAAUCUACAAAGGUAUAAAUUUCUCAACUCACUUUGAUUUGAGUUGAGUCUUGGUUCACCAAUCUACUAGGCUUUGAAUUUCAUGGGUAUUGUUUUGUUUUUGGGUGCAUGCUAGCAUGAUUCCGCCUUUAAUUGUUAAUUGCAUGCUUAUAGAUGUUGCUCAAAUGAACAUGUUUUCACAAAAUCUUCCUUCAAGUGGUAUCAGAGCCUAGGUCUAGUAGUUGGU